rnacentral:rRNA from 1 species
GCUUUUGUACACACCGCCCGUCGCUACUACCGAUUGAAUGAAUUAGUGAGGUCUUCGGACUGGUACGCGGCAUCGACUCUGUCGUUGCCGAUGCUACCGGAAAGAUGACCAAACUUGAUCAUUUAGAGGAAGUAAAAGUCGUAACAAAGUUUCCGUAGGUGAACCUGCGGAAGGAUCAUUA